rnacentral:tRNA from 1 species
GCAGGGGUACCAAAGCAUGGUCAACUGGGCGGGACUCAAGAUCCCGUCUCUUAGGAGUUCGUGGGUUCAAAUCCCACCCCCUGCA